GACGAACCGUGCGAACGUUGUUCGGAAUCAUUGGGCUUAAAGGGCGCGUAGGCGGGUGGACAAGUCAGGGGGUGAAAGCCCACGGCUCAACCGUGGAAGUGCCCUUGAUACUGUCCGUCUGGAGGGAGGUAGGGGCGAGUGGAAUUCCUGGUGUAGCGGUGGAAUGCGCAGAUAUCAGGAGGAACACCAAUAGCGAAGGCAGCUCGCUGGGACGGUAUUGACGCUAAGGCGCGAAAGCGUGGGGAGCAAACAGG
rnacentral:rRNA from 1 species